GUCCAUGGCCAUACCAUCCUGAAUGUGCCCAAUCUCAUCUGAUCUCAGAUGUUAUGCAAGGUCAGGCCUGGUUAGUACCUGGAUGGGAGACCACGUGGGAAUACACAGGUGCUACAGAAU
ensembl:rRNA 5S_rRNA 5S ribosomal RNA